rnacentral:rRNA from 1 species
UACGGAGGGUGCAAGCGUUAUCCGGAUUCACUGGGUUUAAAGGGAGCGUAGGUGGCUUUGUAAGUCAGUGGUGAAAUAUUGCGGCUCAGCCGCAAAACUGCCAUUGAUACUGCUUAGCUUGAAUCACGUCGAGGUGGAUGGAAUAAUACAUGUAGCGGUGAAAUGCUUAGAUAUGUAUUAGAACACCGAUUGCGAAGGCAGUUCACUAGGCGUGUAUUGACACUGAGGCUCGAAAGCGUGGGGAUCAAACAGG